CUGGUCUUGACAUCCACAGGAACGUUUCUCAGGAGGAUGGAAGAUAGUGUGCCUUCGGGAACCUCGUGAGACAGGUGCUGCAUGGCUGUCGUCAGCUCGUGUUGUGAAAUGUUGGGUUAAGUCCCGCAACGAGCGCAACCCUUAUCCUUUGUUGCCAGCGGUCCGGCCGGGAACUCAAAGGAGACUGCCAGUGAUAAACUGGAGGAAGGUGGGGAUGACGUCAAGUCAUCAUGGCCCUUACGACCAGGGCUACACACGUGCUACAAUGGCGCAUACAAAGAGGAAGCGACCUCGCGAGAGCAAGCGGACCUCAUAAAGUGCGUCGUAGUCCGGAUUGGAGUCUGCAACUCGACUCCAUGAAGUCGGAAUCGCUAGUAAUCGUGGAUCAGAAUGCCCCGGU
rnacentral:rRNA from 1 species